ensembl:lncRNA
AUCAGGUACAUUUGAAUUUAAAUAAAGCUAUGGACCGAACUAUGACUAAAGACACUCCAUCUCUGGGACUUGAGAUAUAAAAUGGUCUUUUUAUCCCAACAUCUACUCAAACAAUCUGCUGUUUCCUGGGGAUUUUUUCCUAGAAGGCCAUUUUCCCAGCCAACAUGACUUCCCCUUUUCUAUUUUAAUCUUCUCCUCCGUUCUGUGCACCACACAAACCACAUCAGUUGGUCGGUGAUGAGCAACUCCUUUCUGCAGCAACAUUUGUGAAUAAAUACACGAACGUAAAUAUACACAUUUCUGAAUUUCUGAACCUAGAGGUGUAUUUACACCUCAAGAGGAGCAACCUAUGGCACCUCCCGACUUGUGUUAAGGGGAAAGGCUGCAGCAUGCCUGUAUUUCUAUUUUUGUAUUCAAAAUGGGGAAUUAAAAGAAGCAAAGCCCAGAUAAGAAGCCCAGCGAGUGCCAUUUCCUGAUACCGGAUGCAGGCACCAGUGGGUUGGUCACAGAGCAAGAAGUUGCCCUGGGAUUUGGCAUUUUGGGGACAGUCUUGUGAACUUCUGAUCUAUGGAUGGGGAAAAUAGUAACGUGGAUUCCAGGCAUUCUGAGAGUGUUUUUUCUCCUGCUGAGAAGCAUGAUGCUCCUGCUGUGUGCCCACGCUGGCACCGGGUCUUCCUGAAAGCCAGAGCUCUGGGGCUGCUGCUUCUGCUGAUGACUGUGCUCGGCGUGCAGGGUGAGUGCCCAGCUUGUAACCACAUCCACAGCAUCGAAACCACAGCUUCUCUGAGCAGAAAUCCGGUCUGCUUAUCCCCCAGAGGGAUACCUGGGCUUUGUGUUGGGCUGGGGAUGACCAGCCAGCAAUCCCAAUGCAUCACCCAACAUGGGCAGGAGAUGCAAGCAAUGUUUCUCUGAUUUCGCUAACUGAGUGCAGCCACAACCAGAAGAGAUUUGCACAAAAGCUCGAGGGUCCAACCCCAUCCCUGCUCGGUUGCCAAGGCUUUGUCCCCAGACAAGCCCAUCUCCCCCCACUUUCUGCCUCCGAGUUUCUUGGAAAACAACACCACAUCCAAGCACUCCCCAGCACAGCACUGAGAUUUGGGGGAGGAAUGGGGUGGAGCCAUGUGUGAUCUCUUUUCUUCUGCAAUAUCUUUACUGAUCCACCAGGAGCAGCGAGCUGGAAGGACCAUGGAGGAGCAGCUUCUGAGGGAACCUUUAGGGAAGGAGCCUGGGAUGGGGGAUAGGACUCGAGGUUUUGGGGACAUCUGUGGGGGGACUGGGGGGGAGCACAUUUUUGGGGGGCACCUGGUAGAUGUGUGUUGUGGGGAAGAGAAGGGCAGUCUCCCUGGAGGUUCCCAUGGGGCUGUGGUGUCACAGAUGGAAAUCUGGCUUUUCCUGAACCACAGAUGUCUGCUAUGAGGAGAGGGGAGAGGGAGGAUCUCAAAACUGGGGUAAAUGUAUUUACAAAGGAGCUCCAUUGCUGUGGAGCACAACGUAGGGCCCUGCCCCACAGAUAGCUCUGUACAUUUGGUGACCCACACUCAGCUGUGGACCCCCCCCCAAAUCCUGUCCCAUUGCUCACCUCACAAAAUUGGACUCGCC